AUUUUAUUCAGCCUUUAAAAAGGAUGGAAAUUCUAAUGGAUUAGAACAUGAAACCUUAAAAAUAUAACGUUAAGCAAAAUAAGCCACAAAAUAAACCACAAGAAGACCAAAACUUAAGUUUUCUUAUAUGAGGUACCCGGACUAGUAAAAUUCAUACAGAGCAGUGCUUGUCGAGAGGCUGGAUGGAGUGAGGAAUAAGGUUUUAAAAGGUUUAGACUUAGUUUCAUAAGUUGAAAAGACUUCUAGAUAUUCAUUGCACAAUGUGAAUGACUUAACGGUACUGAACUAUACACUUUAAUAUGGUUAAGAUGUUAGAUUUUAUGUUAUCUGUAUUCUACAAGAGUACUUUUUUUAAAACGUAAGUCCCAGUGCUAAAUCAGAGUAGAUUUCUGUGUGAAGCCUUUCCCCAUCUGCUUUAUAUAUACAUUCUUUAUCUGGUGUGAACUUUCUGGUGCUGAAUGAGAUGAGAAUUUUGGUUAAAGACUCUUCCACAUUCACUGCACUGAUAAGGUCUCUCUCCAGUGUGAAUUCUCCGAUGUUUAAUGAGGCUGGAGUUGUAUCUAAAGACUUUCCCACAUUCACUGCACUCAUAAGGCUUUUCUCCAGUAUGAACUCUCUCAUGACUAAUGAGUGUGGAGCUGUCCAUGAAAAAUUUCCCACAUUUGCUGCAUUUGUAAGUUCUUUCCCUAGUGUGAACUUUUUGGUGCCGAAUGAGGUGGGAAUUUUGGCUAAAAACUCUCCCACACUCAGUGCACUCAAAAGACCUUUCUCCAAAGUGAUUUCUCCGAUGUCUAAUAUGAUUUGAGUUGUGCCUAAAGAAUUUCCCACAUUCACUACACUCAUAAGGCCUUUCACCAGUGUGAAUUCUCUGAUGUGUAUCAAGUGUGGAGCGACAUCUAAAGGAUUUUCCACAAAUGCUGCAUUCAAAAGGUCUUUCUCCAGUGUGAACUCUCUGAUGACUCUUCAGUGUACAGCUGUCCACAAAGAAUUUGCCACAUUCACUGCAUUCAUAAGGCCUCUCUCCAGAGUGAACUCUCUGAUGUCUAUUCAGUGUGAAGCAAUACCUAAAGAAUUUCCCACAUUUGCUGCAUUCAUAAGGCUUUUCUCCAGUAUGAACUCUCUGAUGAAUAAUGAGUGUGGAAGUGUCCAUAAAGAACUUCCCACAUUCACUACACUCAUAAGGCUUUUCUCCAGUGUGAACUUUCUGAUGUCUAAUGAGUGUGGAACGGUAUCUAAAGAACUUCCCACAUUCGUUGCAUUCAUAAGGUUUUUCUCCAGUAUGAACUCUCUGGUGAAUAAUGAGUGUGCAGCUGUCCAUAAAGAAUUUCCCACAUUCACAGCAACAAAAAGGCCUUUCUCCAGUGUGAACUUUCUGAUGUCUAAUGAGUGCUGAACUGUACAUAAAGUAUUUCCCACAUUCAUUGCAUCCAUAAGGCCGUUCUCCAGUAUGAAUUUUCUGGUGACCAACAAGGUGAGCCUGUGUAAGGAAGGCCUUCCCACAUUCACUACACACAUAAGGCCUUGGCCUGGUGUGAAUCCUCUGGUGCUGAAGUAGGUGAGACUUUCUAAGGAAAGCUUUCCCACAUUCACUGCACUCAUAAGGCCUUUCUCCAGUGUGAAUUUUCUGGUGUUGAACAACAUUGUAUUUGAGGCUGAAGGCUUUUCCACAUUCACUACACUUAUAAGGCCUUUCUCCAGUAUGAUUUCGCUGAUGUUUAUUAAGGUCGGAGUUGUACCUAAACAAUUUGCCACAUUCACUGCAUUUAUAAGGCCUUUCUCCAGUGUGAUUUCUCCAAUGUUUAACGAGGCUGGAGUUGUACCUAAACAAUUCCCCACAUACACUGCACUCAUAAGGCCUUUCUCCAGUGUGAAUUCUCUGAUGUCUAAUGAGUGUGGAGAUAUACCUAAAAAAUUUCCCACAAUCAUUGCACUUAUAAGGUCUUUCUCCGGUGUGAACUCUCUGAUGUUUAAUGAGUGUGGAGCUGUCCAUAAAGAAUUUCCCACAUUCCCUGCACUCAUAUGGCCUUUCUCCGGUGUGAACUCUCUGAUGUCUAACAAAUGUGGAGCUGUACCGAAAGAAUUUCCCACAUGUGUUGCACUCAUAAGGCCUUUCUCCAGUGUGAACUCGCUUAUGUCUCAUGAGUCGGUAGUUGUACAUAAAGGAUUUUCCACAUUCUCUGCAUUCAUAAGUCCUUUCACUAGUGUGAACUGUCUGAUGUUUCAUGAAAUUGGCACUGUACUUAAAGAAUUUCCCACAUUUGUUACAUUCAUAAGACCUUUCUCCUGUGUGGAUUUUCUGGUGCUCAACAAAUGAAUAGCUGCAGGUGAAGGUUUUCCCACAUUCACUACAUUUGUAAUCAUUUUGUCCAGUCUGAAAGGCUUCUCUGUCCUCUGUGUCCCUGUAUGGCUUCCACUCGCUUUGAGGGCCCUGGUGCUGGAGAAGGCAUGAGGUGGCUGGUAAGUCCUUCCAGCCCUCCAUGCAUGUGAAGAUCUCCUCUGCCAUGUGAACUCUGUGGUUCUUCCCAAAUGAAGGUAUCCAAUCAUCCCCUCUGGAAAGAUUUUCUCCAAUUUGCUGCUUUGGGUGCUGAAAAAGCUCUGCCUCACAAAUAUAUAUGGCUUGCUCAGGAUGAAUUCCAUUGUGCUCAACCAGGCACAGAAUGUCUUUCAAGGGUGGGCCACAUGUCUCACUAGGGUGGACCUUCUGGCUGGACAGACAGGGCUUUGAAGUUGUAACCUCUGACACUCCUACAGAAAAACCUUGCUGUGAAGGUGCCUCCUCAUCCUCAGCUCCAUGC
rnacentral:lncRNA from 1 species